AUUGAACGCUGGCGGCAUGCCUUACACAUGCAAGUCGAACGGCAGCACGGGAGCAAUCCUGGUGGCGAGUGGCGAACGGGUGAGUAAUAUAUCGGAACGUGCCCAGUCGUGGGGAUAACGUAGCGAAAGCUACGCUAAUACCGCAUACGAUCUAUGGAUGAAAGCGGGGGAUCGCAAGACCUCGCGCGAUUGGAGCGGCCGAUAUCAGAUUAGGUAGUUGGUGAGGUAAAGGCUCACCAAGCCGACGAUCUGUAGCUGGUCUGAGAGGACGACCAGCCACACUGGGACUGAGACACGGCCCAGACUCCUACGGGAGGCAGCAGUGGGGAAUUUUGGACAAUGGGCGCAAGCCUGAUCCAGCAAUGCCGCGUGCAGGAUGAAG
rnacentral:rRNA from 1 species